rnacentral:rRNA from 1 species
GACGAACGCUGGCGGCGUGCUUAACACAUGCAAGUCGAACGGAAAGGCCCUGCUUUUGUGGGGUGCUCGAGUGGCGAACGGGUGAGUAACACGUGAGUAACCUGCCCUUGACUUUGGGAUAACUUCAGGAAACUGGGGCUAAUACCGGAUAGGAGCUCCUGCUGCAUGGUGGGGGUGGGAACGUUUCGGCGGUUGGGGAUGGACUCGCGGCUUAUCAGCUUGUUGGUGGGGUAGUGGAUUACCAAGGCUUUGACGGGUAGCCGGCCUGAGAGGGUGACCGGCCACCAUGGGACUGAGAUACGGCCCAGACUCCUACGGGAGGCAGCAGUGGCGAAUCUUGCACAAUGGGCGGAAGCCUGAUGCAGCAACGCCGCGUGCGGGAUGACGGCCUUCGGGUUGUAAACCGCUUCCGCCUGUGACGAAGCGUGAGUGACGGUAAUGGGUAAAGAAGCACCGGCUAACUACGUG